UACGGAGGGUGCAAGCGUUAUCCGGAUUUACUGGGUUUAAAGGGUGUGUAGGCGGGUCUUUAAGUCAGUGGUGAAAUCUCCGAGCUCAACUUGGAAACUGCCAUUGAUACUAUUGAUCUUGAAUUUUGUUGAGGUAGGCGGAAUAAGUCAUGUAGCGGUGAAAUGCAUAGAUAUGACUUAGAACACCAAUUGCGAAGGCAGCGUGCUAAGCAAAUAUUGACGCUGAGGCACGAAAGCGUGGGGAUCAAACAGG
rnacentral:rRNA from 1 species